GAUGAACGCUGGCGGCGUGCCUAAUACAUGCAAGUCGAGCGAACGGACGAGAAGCUUGCUUCUCUGAUGUUAGCGGCGGACGGGUGAGUAACACGUGGAUAACCUACCUAUAAGACUGGGAUAACUUCGGGAAACCGGAGCUAAUACCGGAUAAUAUUUUGAACCGCAUGGUUCAAAAGUGAAAGACGGUCUUGCUGUCACUUAUAGAUGGAUCCGCGCUGCAUUAGCUAGUUGGUAAGGUAACGGCUUACCAAGGCAACGAUGCAUAGCCGACCUGAGAGGGUGAUCGGCCACACUGGAACUGAGACACGGUCCAGACUCCUACGGGAGGCAGCAGUAGGGAAUCUUCCGCAAUGGGCGAAAGCCUGACGGAGCAACGCCGCGUGAGUGAUGAAGGUCUUCGGAUCGUAAAACUCUGUUAUUAGGGAAGAACAUAUGUGUAAGUAACUGUGCACAUCUUGACGGUACCUAAUCAGAAAGCCACGGCUAACUACGUGCCAGCAGCCGCGGUAAUACGUAGGUGGCAAGCGUUAUCCGGAAUUAUUGGGCGUAAAGCGCGCGUAGGCGGUUUUUUAAGUCUGAUGUGAAAGCCCACGGCUCAACCGUGGAGGGUCAUUGGAAACUGGAAAACUUGAGUGCAGAAGAGGAAAGUGGAAUUCCAUGUGUAGCGGUGAAAUGCGCAGAGAUAUGGAGGAACACCAGUGGCGAAGGCGACUUUCUGGUCUGUAACUGACGCUGAUGUGCGAAAGCGUGGGGAUCAAACAGGAUUAGAUACCCUGGUAGUCCACGCCGUAAACGAUGAGUGCUAAGUGUUAGGGGGUUUCCGCCCCUUAGUGCUGCAGCUAACGCAUUAAGCACUCCGCCUGGGGAGUACGACCGCAAGGUUG
rnacentral:rRNA from 1 species